AUCGGAUUAGCGUAUGCAGAGAAACGUUGCAUACAUACUUAUGUCUUUUAAGAAAUAAAUAUUAAGAAGUAAAUAGAAAAAGUUAAGAAAUUAUGGAAAUGAAUGAGGAAGGAAUGUUUGAACAGAGUCAAUUUGCACCCUCCAAAAAGUUUCCAUCUGACAAAAAGAAAUCUCUGCUAAACUUUUGCUCGAUCGGAUAACGAAAAAAUCCGUGCCCCCGGAUCGUUAAAAAUUGAAGUAUCUUUAUAUUAAGCUGUUUGCGUUAUCAAUAUGGUGUUUUCCACAAAAAUCUCCUUAGAAAACUUUUCUGUU